GCUGGCAGGACCUAGGCUGUGGCUCCGGCGAGUGCCCGCCUGCCGGGGUGUCUGUGACGGUGAGGGUGAGGUGGCGUGGUCUUGGAGCAGCUGGACCAGGCAGGACAGGUGCUCUGUGGCCCUCAGCAGCACCGUCCAGCAGUGUCUGUGCUCUGGCUUUCCUGGAAUCCAGCCAUCAGUUGGUGUGACAAGGACAGGCGCACCACGCUGCCUCUGCCCGGGGGCGUUGGGCUUGCCUGGGUCGCCCUCUGCUCCCUGUCACCCGUGGCUACCACCGCCACCAUUUCCAACAUGGAGAUGUGGACAGACUUCUCCUGUGGACACGCAGCCUUUGCACCCUGGUGCACCCCCCAGCCAGCUCCCGGGUUUGAUGCCACCUGGCUCUGCCAGGGCAAGAGAAGGUGAGCAGAGAGCCGGGAGCCAUGUGCAAGUCGCAGCCCUGGCCCAGGUGCAGCCCCUCCCAGGAGCACGGCCAACUCGGCCAGGCGAGGGGCUGGGCUGAUUCAGAGCUUGGACCGAGUCCACUCUUGGCAAACCACUCAGUCUGCCUGCGAGUCACGAGAAGCGGGUGAUCUCUGUGGGGAAGCAUGUCAGGCUGCAGGGGCCGAGGCCAUCUGGUGAGCCCAGGUCCACCCACACUGAGAAACUGAGGCCUUGGGAAGACAGUGGGCAGCAGGAGCCAAGGAGGGGCCUGCUGCAGAACCCUCAUGGCCCGGCUCCUGCCCAGGCCGAGGAGAAGCAGGCAAGGCGGCCAGCUCGGCUCCUCAUGGGUGAACCCUGCUGCCCACACCCAGAGCCCUGGAAACGGGGCCACAUGGACUGGGGCACAGGUCUGGAGGGAGGGGCCACUGCUUGGGAGCCCCUGCACCCAGGACAGGAGUCCUGGGCCCUGGCUGCAAGCCAUCAGGGUCUAAACCCUGCCGGCCCCCCAACUGCCCCGGGUAGCCCCCAGCGCCUCUCUCCUGUCCUCUGCGCAGGAGCCUGGUAGGUGAACCCCUCUUGUCCCCAGGCCUCCCCAGUGGAAUUCAGAGUGGGCUCCCUCCCCUAGGACAGGCCCGCAGACACAGAUGUCAGGUCAGGUAGGACAACAGGAGCCCCAGCUCUCUGUGGCCCCACCCUGGCCCGGCACCCUGUGGGCCCAGGCCUGGAAGAGGUCGUAAAGCUUGGUCCCCUGCACCACCUCCUGCUGGCUGUUGGCAGGAGCUGAUGGGGGGCGGGAGUGGUCCUGGGGCUCCUGCAGCCCUGGAUGUGGCUGCUUCAUGGAGCCUGUGACCUCCAGCCUGUGUGACCGCCAUCCCUAUGUAACCUGGGACCCUGCCGCUCGCUCUCCAUCAGGAAGGUGGACCCGGAGCAGCUACUCACCUCCUUCCUGGCUCCUGCUCCUUCAGGAACACGUCCACAUGUCCCAAGCCUAGCAGGGCCUCACAUUGGGGAUCUGGUCACCGGCCUAGUGAGCGCACAGCAGAUAACCUGUCGGGCCUUUGAGCCACCUCGGGGACACCAAGAGAGACCAUUGUGU
rnacentral:lncRNA from 1 species